rnacentral:tRNA from 2 species
AUAGCUCAGUUGGUAGAGCAUAACCUUGCCAAGGUUAGGGUCGCGAGUUCGAGUCUCGUUUUCCGCU